rnacentral:rRNA from 1 species
UACGUAGGGUGCAAGCGUUAAUCGGAAUUACUGGGCGUAAAGCGUGCGCAGGCGGUUUUGUAAGUCUGUCGUGAAAUCCCCGGGCUCAACCUGGGAAUUGCGAUGGAGACUGCAAGGCUAGAAUCUGGCAGAGGGGGGUAGAAUUCCGACGUGUGAGCAGUGAAAUGCGUAGAGAUGUGGAGGAACACCGAUGGCGAAGGCAGCCCCUGGGCCGGAACUGACGCUG